CCUACGGGGGGCUGCAGUGGGGAAUAUUGGACAAUGGGGGGAACCCUGAUCCAGCCAUGCCGCGUGUGUGAAGAAGGCCCUCGGGUUGUAAAGCACUUUCAGUGAGGAAGAACGCCUGGUGGUUAAUACCCAUCAGGAAAGAUAUCACUCACAGAAGAAGCACCGGCUAACUCCGUGCCAGCAGCCGCGGUAAUACGGAGGGUGCGAGCGUUAAUCGGAAUUACUGGGCGUAAAGCGCGCGUAGGUGGCUUGAUAAGCCGGUUGUGAAAGCCCCGGGCUCAACCUGGGAACGGCAUCCGGAACUGUCAAGCUAGAGUGCAGGAGAGGAAGGUAGAAUUCCCAGUGUAGCGGUGAAAUGCGUAGAGAUCGGGAGGAAUACCAGUGGCGAAGGCGGCCUUCUGGACUGACACUGACACUGAGGUGCGAAAGCGUGGGUAGCAAACAGGAUUAGAUACCCUAGUAGUC
rnacentral:rRNA from 1 species